ACAGCGAGACAGCCCGGGCAUGGGACGGGAACUCUCGUUCCUUUACCCAGAGGCACAUCAAACUGAAGCCUUUUUGGAAGAUGCCCAUUUCUGCUCGCUUUGCUGUGCUGAAGUCGGCCGUGCAGGAUUUACUGUGCAGGUACGUGAGUCCCAGGCACAUUUUGCCAGUGCUGUCCGUCUGUCCACGGUUUCUGGACAUCGACAGUUGCAGCAAGGUCACGCAACAUCUGCAUAUCCCUGAAAAAUCCCCUUUUUCCACCUAGAAAAAUAAAAUUCCAGGAAGGUGUGUCGGAAGAGACACGGCACGUGGCGGUGGUAGUUAAUGAUCCAGUAUCCCGGUGGGACUGAGCUGUCACCAUCACUGUUAAUGCUGGAGGAGCAGCGCUGUGACCCUGCUCACACGCAAUGCCCGGCAUCAGAUGGAAAAGCAAAGCGUCUGUGCUGCCAGCCCCAUGAUCGCUGCCGGCAGAAGUUAGAGAGGAGGCAGCAGCUUGGGUAAACCCAUGGCCCACAAAGCGUUUUUCUGUUUCGCACCCAGUUUUUACCCAUUUCCCAGGACUUUUGAGGGUUUUUCUCCAUCACUGGGUGAGGAAGCCAACAGAUGGCACUGUGCUGUUUCUGGAGGAGCCCAGCCUUGCUGGAGGCCAGACACAGGCUGCCCAAAUGCUGGAAAAGCCUUUGCGCUUCAGGGAAGCUUCUCCCCGUGCAAAAGCACAGGCAAAGUCUCCCUGUAGCACGUCAUCCACCGUGCUGCUGCUUUGGCCUGAUGCGCAGUGGAUGUGUUUGUACACAACCUCAGGACAUCAUCUGUUAACAGGAAAAAGGGUGCAAAACUAUCCUGUAGAUCAGAUCGGUGUUAGGAAAGCUUGAAUUCUCAUCAAGAAGAUUUUUUCCCCAGUAUCCUCUGUGGUAGGCGCAAGCAAAUCAGACCCCUUUGCACUAUGCCAGUACAUGGCUGAGGAGAUCAAUUGUGGGGAGCAGAUUAUUUGGUCAGGAGGUGCAGGGCUAUCUAGGAGAGCAGCUUGGUCAGCCACUGAUCCUCAUCUGGAGUUUGACUUUAGCAGAGGUGCUCCUGCCCUUCUGGACCAGCAGAGGUGAGGGAUGGGGUGACGCUGGGGGUGCUUCCUGGCGGUAAAAUCCUGUCCUUUUUAUUAAGCUUCUCCUGUGCAUGAGUGCCCUUCAUUUUAUAUGUCCUGCAGGUUUGUACUUGCUGCUCAAGGAGCAGAGACACGUUCAUGGCUCCAACCAUUGAUCUGUGCCUCGCAGCAGGGUUGGGUGGGUGAUUUGGAGUGAGUUAUCCCCACAGCUCAAAAUCAUUUCCAAGCCGAAUCUCUAACUUGUUUCCAGUCCAGUAUUGCGAAGUCCUGUGGCACCAUUCCCCCGUGUUCCCAGUCCUACUUGGUGGGUAUCACCGUCAUCAUUGAUGUGCUGGGCUCUCUUGUAUCCAGCUCCAUAAUGAGCCUGCCUGCCCCGAGACCUCUUCUCCUUCCCGUAACAGUGUCGCAUCCUCCAUCCAACAGCAAAUACCUGUGAUGGGGAUGGAGAAAACGCAGUGCUGGGAGCUGCUCUUCCCCAAUAGCUUCCUCUGCACAGGCUCAGCUGUCAAGGUGGGGGGAACUCAGAAGCAUGGCCCGAUUUUCUGAAGCCGCAACACCUUCUCCAAGCGAGCGGGGCCAGCGGUUCCCCGUGCACCCUCUGAGGACGCGCUCAGCACCGCCGCUGCCCCGGCCGCCCCUGCGCACGCCGGCUUGACCCCACUGCCGCCUUUCAAAGUGCUGAUGUCAAAUUAGGGUUUGCCCAGAAGUGCCUGGUCAGCGCGGUGCAGAGCUGGGGUGCUGGCAGCCUGUGUCCCACGCUGCCGCAGGGGGAAGCUCUCCUGUCCUCCAGCUCCGGAUGCCUCUUCCCAAAACCAUGGAGGUCCCAGACACGAGGGAGGGGGCACCACACACAGACCUCUCUUGGGAGGAGCUCGUGGUAGUGGAUGGAGGUGAAGGAGAGCCAAGACCUUCCCAUUACAGAGAUAAAGGUAGUUGAGGUUUGUGUUGUACACUGUAGGAUGGGUACGGGGAGGCUGUGCGUUCUUACCAGGAUUGUCAGUCUUGGAAACACGUGUUGUAUGUAGACAUCUACCUGGUUUUCAAAGGUACCAAACCAGACCAGGGCCAAAUUAUAAAUGGAUAAGCCUGGUUUUAAGUGUUUCUUUUCUGGCUGUCUUGGUUUGUCCCACUGACAUCAAACUGAAACACCCAGGCUGACAACACUAUUGGAUUGUUACCUGUUCUCCUUCCCAGGCUGACCCAAAUCCUCCUUUCAGCCCACCCCAAAAGAGAGAAGCACAGUAUCAUACUGAAUGCACAGUCAAUCUGACAAGCCACAGAUGUGAAUUGCGUUGGCUUCCUGGGAUUCCUUGUCCAACAGAGGUGCUAAAAUGGAGCAUUUUUGUAGGUGUCUUCUAAUUUCUGUGAUACUCAAGAGUACCCCCACAUCUUCAAUCUACCAACUAACCCCAAACAAAUCUUUCUCCUCUGCACCACAAGGUUCUCCAUGUGAGGAGCGCGGGACGAUUUAUUCCAACACUGAGCUGUGGUUUCUACCUGAGGAAGAGAACUUUGCUCAGAUUUCUAUUCAAUUUCAUUCAGGGGAAGAAUAUUAGAAACUCUACUCUUUAGCACUUCAUUAAACACUUCAGUUUAAUAGCAUCCUCCAGGGAAUCCCAGUCUGGACCACGUGAGCCAGGAGUAAACAGCUGCAUCAAUUAACCCCAUAAUCUCGAGGGUGCUAUUAGAAGGUGAGAUACCCUUAGAAAGUGCAUAUGCCUGCAAUUAGACUUAAAAUACUAACGUGUCAAUAGCUUUAGUUAUUUGUGCUCUCUGCUAUUGAUCUUGCUUAUGUUUUCCACAUUAAACAGUCUUUCUUACUUCAUCAAUAAAUUAAGUGCUGGUUAGAUUUAUUUGCUUUUUCUAUUAAAUGGUGGAAACUCCUGAGCUCCUGACCCUGGCCUGGCUGUACCUGAGAUGAGGGGCUCCAGCCUCUUUGCUGGCAGCUCCAUCUCGCUCUUGUUUGAGGAAGGGGCAGGAUCUAUGGGACCAUGCAGAAGAUGAGGGCUUGUCCUGGCUUUUCUGCCCAGGAAAGGGCUUCGAGGAGAGCUUGACGUCUUCUGCAAUGGUAACAGAGAGGGCAGGAAGCAGUGCUGCAGGCUCACUGGGAACAAGUGGGGUGGGAUCAAGGGCUGGUCCUCUCUUUUUCCUCCUCCUGUCUUCCAUCAGAUUCAUUACUGAUUGCAACCUCUUCCUUCAGUUUAUUUGGCCCAAAACCAGGUGUGUGCAUAGACAGAAAUGUGGCGGUGCUCGGUGCUUCUGUUUGGAAGCUGGGACAGCUUUGGGAUAUAAAGGUGUUCCAGGGCAUUGGAAGGAUGUGAAAUGUUGGAGCCACGUUUGCCUGCAGAGCUGGUUGAGAAGGUACUUGACAAAGGUGGAAAGUUUUAUGGUUGUUUCCUUUUAGUAGCCAGACUUUUAAGCUGUAAUUCUUAAUCAUAUGGGAGAGGACCAAGGCUGGGGUCCCGCUCCAGGAUGAGUGUUGUGCUGAGGGUUGAGCACACUGAGCAAAAUAGCAUCUCAUGUCAAGGGCCGGCGUUGUCUCACACUGAAAAUAUCUACUGUCCUUUUCAUUUUUAAAGUUCUUCAAGAGUCUUUGCUUGUUUUCACCAGCUCCCCUUGAAGAUCUGUUGGCUCUCUAGGGAAACUGCACAAUUAUUUCCAAGGAAAAGAAUUCUGGAGGUAAUUCUUACCUCUCUUUUUCUCUUGGUCAUGCUGGCUUUUCUGUGCUGUGCUUAAUGAAUGUUGUGGUGUUUUAUGAGGAGCACGGGUGAAAAAAUAGCAAAACUUAGGGCAUUUAAAAGAACAGACUUUGGGGUAGUUUGCAUAGUUUAGUUUGCUGCUCCCCUGCCCAUCUGCUGUGUAUCAGUGCAUGCAAAACUUUAUUGUUAACCAGGCUCUCCUGCCCAAAUGGAGCUCAGCAGGCCCUUGUUGUUACAAUUAAACCAUGUACUACUUUCCAUAACUCAUUAGCCCUUUAGUUUCUGGAUUAAUUCGAUGUGCAAAUAAUGUCACAAAUUGAAUAUUAGUAGACUUCUAUUGAGGAUUAAGCGGCAGUAAAAGCAUAUCGCUGUGUCUUCAUUUUGCUUUGGACGACUGUGGUUUGUCCAGCGUAGCGAGUGGUUAGUUAACUAUCCGAUAGCUCACUUUCCCGUGCUGGUUCUUCACAUAAUAGCCCGCCUAUUAGAAGAGAAAAACAACAACUGUGCAUGUAAAGUGAGGGUAAGCAAAAUGGAUCUCCCUGUUAGCACUACACCGUGUCCAAACUCUUAUUUAAAGAAGAGCUUUGCAUGAGGAUGGCCCCAGCUCUUCUACAAUUCUCCUGCAAACACCCAGCCGUGCUCUAUCCACAGCAGCCUGUGGUCAACUGAUGGGCUGGACUUGCUCCAAGUUAAACACUUCACCGGUGUCAUCUGCAUGGAAUUUGCAAUGCAUUUUGUCACCUCUGCUUCCCUGCAGAUACAAAAUUUGGGUGGAAUUGCUUAGACCAGCCCAGGCAUCCCUAUUGUUGCUACAGGGAUGAAACGGAAAGGCAAGCUUUGGAAAGGGUGCAAUGUCCCGUCCCAGGCAAAGACCUCCUUGGGCGUCCCAGCACCUGCCCCUGAGGGUCUGGCUGGGGGUUUGGGACCCAGAGCGGGCACUGAAAUGCCAACACGACCCCAAAGCUUUUAACUUGAGACGUGUUGGUGGUGUCGAUGUGGGGAGAAUGGCUCUGUGCCAUGAGAACUUUCAGGGCUUCGCUGAGCAAAAUGGGUGCAGCUUUCUUAUAAUGCACUGAAGUGGAGGCAAAUUUCAAUCUAAUAAUGUAAAGCAGCAAUAACCAUUAUAAUUAAUUUAUAUAAAAGACGUUAUAAAAUUACACUUGAUGCAUUUAAAUCCCAUCUAGGAGUAGCGCUCGUUUUCCAGUUAAGCUAUGGGCUGCACUAAGGCAGACGGGGAAAGAGGUAUUUCAAUAUUUCUUAUAAUUUUAUAUUCUUUCUAAUAUCUCUCAUGCUAAUUUCAUUAUGCAACACAGUCAGCACAGUGAUGUAAUUAUUGAAAAGUAAUUUUGCAAUAAAUGGAUUUAAAUGUGUUCGAGUCCAUUGUAAAUUCAAUCUCUUGGUAAAGGUGGAUUGAACAGGCAGGAAAAAGGGAGCAGGGAGGUUGCUGGGUGAAAACUGAGAAGUCCUGGGCAUCCCAUGUCGAGCAUCUGGUUACACCAACUAAUAACAUCCACUUCAGAUGGAAACCGCUCAUGGAGCCAGGCUCCCUCCCCUUGGGCUCCCAAAGUCAUUGCUUGCAAAGGGAACUUCAGCCUUCAUGGUGGGGAAAAUUUUGGGUCACUCAAGUCUCCUUGCCAUUGCUGCGUGUCUGUGCUGCUCUUCGCAAAGUGGGUCCUGUGUGGGCGUCUUAGUCUGGAUUAAGGGCUCAGUUACUGGGCAGGGACAUGAAGAUAUUCUUCUGCAUAAGACAUGGGAGAUGUGAUUUCUAUUCCUGGCUCUGUCAGAGACUUCCCGUGUGAUACUGGGCAAGCGGCAUAUCAUCUCUGUGCUUCCAUUUCCUCAUCUGCACAAUAGGGAUAAAGAGUGCUUCCCCAGCUCAUCGGUGAAAUUAAUGUAACAUAUGUAAAGUGCAUGUAUAUCCCCAGAUGAAAGGUGCCAUUGUAAUAAUAUUCAAAUUAUUAUGGAAAAUAGAUAAAGCGACCAACCCCUGCUAAAUGAUCGUCUAGCUUUUCCCCAGAUUCAUGAGAUCCACGCAAAAUGUGAUAAGAAAACCUCAGAUGUCAAGUGGUUUAGAGUCAGGCUCUGCUCAUGAAACGGAGCUGACUGUGCCUUUUAAGCGGAGGAUGAGAUAGCGAAGAAUUUGGGGCUUGGAAAGUUGUUGCCGCGGUUAAGCUGCCCUGGUUUACUGGAUGCCACCAUUCAUCUAGAGGGGAAGCCUGAGGGAUGCAACACUUAAUGCCCAAAUCAGGACCCAGGACCCAGUAACACUGAAGUCGAAGGGGUAAAGCAGGGCUGUAUUUUUUAUUUCUGUUCCCCAUGGCUGUAUACAAGUUUGGGAUAACCCAGAAGGGUCAUGUGCAGAUGGAGGUGGCAAUGGGGAGAUUGGAUGCAUUGGCUUGGUAGGAAUACUCAACCCACAAGGCUUUACCUAGAGGUAAAGAGCUCUGGUGUCACUUGUAGAGCAUUAGCAGAUACUGCAAUGGGAGGAUGUUCAGGUCUGAGUAUUGAGGUGGUGAUAUGUCUUCCCUGAUGUCCUUUUGCAUCUCCUCUUUUCACAGCAUCACUACACGGUAUGUUUGGACAGGGCAGAGACCUCUGCUAUAUAAGCAGUAUGCGUGUUCUUGGCAAGGGGGUUGUAUCUGAGCCAGGCUGGUAGCAGGCAGACAUUGGAGGGUUUUCUCUGACAUGGAUGUAGGACUAGAUGAUCUUUUGAGGUCCCUUCCAAUCCCAAACAUACUGUGAUACUGUGAUAUCUCCUGGAGCUUCCUACCAUUGUGAAGAAGGUGCUGGCUUGGCCUCCGCAAAGGCCACGUUGAGAAUCACUCGAAACCUGAAGUCACUGGAGAUUUGACUCCGAAACUGCUGUGCCUGUCUCUUCUGGCAUCAUUGUAGAGUUGCCCAGCACCAAAUGCUCAAUUAUAGACAAAAUUGAAUUUACAAUUUGCUUUUGGGCAAUGUGUAAAUUGGCCCUUCAUUGAUUAUUAAUGAAGUGCUAAUUGCUCUUUGCAACCAAUUUUUAUGCAAAUGCUAUUAGUGUUAUUUGCACAAUCCUGCAAUUUACAGUUUUACAUUUGCAAUGGCCUGGUGAAAAGAUGCGAAAAGAUGACAGCUUGUCCUAAAAGAAAACAAGAAGGGAAGGGGGGAGGCGAUCGCAAAACUUACAAAACUCGGAGUGGCAAAAUAACACAAUUACAAACACAAAACCAUUUUUUUAAAAGGCAUGAACAAACAAACCCUCUGUCUUUAUUGAUUGUUACAGAUUCAGUGUUGACAGGGGUUGUUCUGAAUGUAACAGGAUCCCACGGCAGAUGUAAACCAGACUCCAGGCAUUUGCUUUGUGUUGCACCAAGGAGGUCAGCGUAUGAAUUUCCCUGUGAAAACAUUGAUGCCGAGGCUGCCAGCGUUACCCAUUCACCAACCGGGUGCUUUUCUCGGUGACAAGCGACGUGGUGUUAGUUUGCGAGUCACGCGUGUGCAGCUGCUGAGCUGUUUGGGCGCAGAGCUGCUCCCCCGUGUGAAUCCCCUCCCUGCGCGGGACCAGGGGCCGAGCGCUCACCAUCACCUGCCCACGGCCGGUCAAACCCACCGCCCUCCUGCCCUCCUCUGCCGUCCCACCCGGCUUCAACAGACCUUAUUUCGCUUCUGCACGGCAGUGACACCUUGCAGACAGCACAGGGAGUUACAUUUCGGCUGUGUCCUGCAAACCAGGAGUGCUAUGGGUCUCACUUUGCUAGUGGGGAAUGAAGGAUUCCAGCAAGGUCUUGUUUGCAGAUCUAGUUUUCUUAGAGGCUCUGGGUGUUGCUGCCUGCUCAGAGGCUUCACAGGAAGCCUUUGGUGGAGUAGAACAUCAAAUUAAGCUCUAAGCUAUUCCCUAAUUGUGUCCUGUCUAUCAGACAGACUUUUCAGUGAACUGCACUGAGGUGUUUGAGGCAGCAGCGUGGCCGCAUCUGCUGCCAAGUGACAGACGUUGCUGGUGGAACAGGGCUUGCUGAGUCCUUAACAAGAAUAUGGUUUUGUUUUAAUUUGAGUAGGGGCAAGCUAUUGUCAUUAGGACCCAAGGAAGCCACAGGUAGCCCCUGUGCAAUGGGACGAUAAGGAAACAGCUCAUAUGAGUGACUGCACGGGAAACACUUGCUAGGCAGCUUGAAAAUAAAUGUGACUUGGGGAUCCUCAGGCAGGGUACAAGCAGAUGUCAGUUGAACCCACUUGUAUUGGUGACAAUGAGAUGACAGGAAGAUUUGUUGCUGAUCCACAACCACCCUUCUUUAUUUUAUUUUAUUUUACUAAUUUUAUCACUUAUAUCUUUGAGCAGAAAUAUGCUGGUUUUACAUACAGUUCCUCUGAGCCGCGUGUCCCCACGGAGCCGCGUGUCCCCACGGAGCCGCGUGUCCCCACGGAGCCGCGUGUCCCCACAGAGCUGCGUGUCCCCACAGAGCUGCGUGUCCCCACAGAGCUGCGUGCUGUAAGGCCCCACGCAGACGCAGCGUGGCACUCUUUUCCAAAGCACUGUGCCGGGUGUCCGUGUGAGCCUGUCCCCAUGCCUGGCCCCGUCCCUGGCCUUACAGGCAGCUGCAGUCCUCCCGGUGCUCCCCCAGCCCCACUCGCCCCCCUGCACACCCCGCUCCAGCCACCCCGGCUGCCAACCCUCCAACCUAAAGCUGGUGCUUUGGCGAGCAUCCUGAUCCAGACCUGCAAGCGCCAGAGCCAUCCCAGGCCUCAGCCUCACAAAAGUGUUCAGAGGAUGCUUUACAGCUGCUCAGAGCAUGUGUCAGGAUGUGUGCGCCUGCACACCACCAAUGUUUUGUGGAUACACCAACCAGAAAAUAGUUUCCAGGGAAGUAAAAAUCCUUAUUUUUAAUCCUAGGAGAACUGUCUAUAUGUGACUUGAAGGUAUGUCGCUUCACCUUGCUUUUAAGGGGAUAUAAUCUGCUCUUUCUGGAUGGAUGUGGCCCUAAACUGGAUGAGGACCCAAAUGUGACAGCCGUGGGUCCAGGAGAUGGGAAUGCAACCAAACUACUGCAGGGGCACGAGCCACCCAGCCACCUUCCCAAGCAGAGCCCUGCCUGGUGCCCGGGGUAAAAUCUGCCUUGUGCCCAGGAUGAAGAGCUUUCUUAGCCUAGAAAAAAACAAAGGAGCUGAGCUUAGACCUGGCCCAAGGUGGCUGGUGAUGUUGGAUAAGUCUCCCAGGACUUUAAGGUGGGUGCAACAACACUCACAGCCCCCAAAGAGCAACACCCGGCUGCAAACAGCAUUCAGGUAGCCCAGCCGGGACCCCCCCCAAACGCAGCAGACAGUGCUGCUCUCCCUGCUCCCAGAGCAAGAGGGAUCCUCAAGCAGCUUCAGUUUAAAUAAUUGUUGCCAGGGUUUCAUUGGUGAUUCAUUAGUCUCCAAGACAGGAUCCCUCGUUAGCAGGGGGCUAUCUGGGGAACACCCUCCUCUUGUUGCCAAGGCACCUCGACCGGAGGGACUUUCUGCACCUCCUUCUGCUCCUUCCUCUUGCCUUUUGUUUUCCAAAACACUCAUCGUGGGUCGGCAGAUCCCCCCUGUGCAUCUCAGCUCUGUGGGUGCAGACGGGGUGCGUGUGCAUGGGGGUGCGCUGUCUGCACCCCAAAAGGGCUCUGCUCUGCCACGGCAUCCGGGCUCGCGUGUCUCUGCUUUGUUUUAACAGAGAUGAGGGGAGCGGCUGUUUUGCUGGACCACCGAGCAUCUUGUGGGUCAGCCUGUUCUGCUUUGUGACCGGGAUGUCAUCUGCAUCCUGGGGUCCCAGCACAGCAGAUCAGUGUGGGGCUCCCUCGGCCAGGUUUCCUUUCAGACCCUGAAAUCAUUGUCUUAGAGGGAUCUCCUUGCUGGUGUGAGAUCUCUGUUGGAUGAGAUUGUGACAUUGCAUCUUCAGAGCUGUCCGGUCACUGAGAAGAUGUGUCCUGCACCAAAGCAGAGAGCGACAUCCUCAGAAAAACAUGUGGAACAUGCAAGUCUCUUUUCAUCACACCUUCGUCAUGGAUGGAGCGAUACCUGUGUGAGAAGAGGAGCCUGUCCCUGAGACAGUGUCUAUAUGAUCACCACUUGGAUGCCAAAUCAUUUAAAGAGAGGAGAGGCUACUUCUUCAGCACUAAAGGUGACUCACAAGCAGCAUCACUCCAGGAAAGUUAAGAGUGAUAAUUCAAUGAGACUCAAGGAUUGUGUGGGACUGAAAGAGGGAUAAAACAGCCUUGCAGGGAGCUCUCCUUCCUCCAUCUCUUAGUGAUGAAAGAAACCGGAAAAUCUCAUCAAUUCAGAGCUGCUGAAAAUUAAAACAUGAUCAUGUCUUCAUGAGCACCCAGGUAGGCUGGAAACUACUGCCCCACGGUGCCAUGAAGGCUGAAAGCUCAACAGAGUUCGAAAGGAUGUUCAGCACUUUUAUGGAUAACUACACUCAGAGUUGUUAGAAUUAUUAUUAUUAUUAUUAAAAAUCAAACAAAUGACACUCUUUGAAAGGGUCUGGAGCGCAUCUCUGGGUGCCUGCACCAGGGCUCUGCUAACCCUCAACCACUGAUGUUAGGAAGAGACUUCAUGUGGUGGUAAGUUACACCCAAACCAGGGUUUCUUGCAUCAGCUUCUGUUGCCUCCAGUGAUGGAGCAGAGGUGGAGCCUGAGGCUGCUGGGGCACCUGGAAAUGGGGCUAUUAUAUCUGGAGUUGGCAUCUGAGUGAUGUAUUCCCAUUCAUAUACUUCUGUGGAGACAUCCAGAAUAGAGUGAAAAGAUGGAAGUGAGAAAGGAAGAGAACAGGACAGGGGAUGAAAAUAUUGUUCUUACAAUGGCAGUGGGAAAGCCAGAGGGGAGGAAGGAGAAGAUCUGAAUGGGAGAAGAAAUAGAUGGAGAAGGAAGAAGGAUUUAUUUCUACAGGUAGUGGGGGGUCAAUGCCAGUAGAUGGGAAACUCUCACGGAAAUCCAACAGCAGUUACUUGGGGGAAGUCUUUCACAACAUAUUGAACAAAGCAGAAAAAUGGGUUCUUUUGGCUGGAAAAAAAAAAUAGUGUUUGGUACUGGGAUGGAAAACCAGAAACAGGCAAAUAUAAGUUGUGAAGCAGUCGUGCAGGAAAUUAGUUGGAGAAGAAUUUGAUGUAAGCAAAGGAGAGCUGUACAGAUCACAUAGAGGGGCUGAUCCGACUAUCUGUGUAGGAUGUUUUUUGCAUUUUGGUAUAAAAGUAGUUGCAACUGAAAGUUGUGAAAACUUGAACAGGACGUGCUUACUGGUGUGUUUCCUUCAAGUACAGUGAGGAUGGGCAAGUGUGGCAGGAACAGCGACUUCACUGCUCAACAGCAGCCACCAUGCUGCCUUACCCAUCUCAUGGCAAGUCAUCGCCGGGGUAUAAUUUAAGGCAGAAUUUGGACUUUCUUACAUAUUUCACUUUACUCCAUUGAUUGUAAUUCAUCCUGUUAUGUGCAUUUCAACCAUUUUGUCUGCCUGUGGUGUCUGCUUUCGCAGGUCAGAGGGAGGUAAGUUCUGCUCCUCUGCUGGAGGGGAAGGGAAUGUUGUCUGUCCGUGAGCUUUGGGAUAGAGGGCGGGCUGUGAAUUGACACUGAGCUUUGGUCCACCCUGUAAUAUUUCUGUUGCUGCUUUGCCUGCCUCAGUUUACCCUCCCUUUCCCUACACCAUCCCUCCUUUUCUCUGCCAAGAGAAUCUGUUUCCUUACACUCACGGCCUUUGCGGGAGCCCACCCCACCCUCAAUUGGGGGUGGCUUUGCCACCAUCACAGCCAGGAGGCCAACGGGGGCUUCGACGAGUCCCUUGCCUGGAGCUCAGGGUGUGCGGUGGCUCAGGAUGCUGGGUGUCCCUGUCCCCAUCAUGGAGUCAGGAUCCCCGUGGCUGGCACACACGGCACAGCGGGGCACGGCACGGGGUGCUGCCAUCGCGGUGGGGACAGGGGUGCUGUGCCGCCCCUCCGGUGAGCAACGCGGUGCACGUCCCGCUCCUCGCACGGCGGCGGAUGGGGCAGGCCAGGCGGAGGUACAGCUGCCCGCCUUCAGAUUAGUGUUUAUUUUCCAGGCUGAAAGGAAGCUUGUGAUCCCAAAGCCCUUCUGUGUUUAGCCAGACCUCUCAUUCACUUGCAGAGGAAACCCAUGUCAGGCGCUCCCCUUUGUCUCCCCUGAGCUAUUGCUUUGAAUCUGAAAGGAUUGGGUGCAGAUUUCAAGGGAUGUUCAGACAAAGGCUGUUUGAACAGCACUUGUGUAAAUAAUCCAUGAAAAACUCUUUGAAUAACCUCAAUGAAAUUUUCUCUGAAUUUGCUAUUCUUUUUCUCCAGCAGCAGAAAGAAGUGGAAGUCGGGAAAGGGAGGAGAGUCGGAGGGAGAGGUGGAGGAAAGGGGUGGGGGAAGGACUGACACUUUUUUCUCUCUGCCAACUUCUCUGAAUGCCAAGAAGUAGCUUGGCUUAGAAAAAAAUCUCUUUGUUAUUUUCACAGCUUUAGGAAUAAUCUCAUACGGGACCUCCGUGUCCUCAAACUUCCCCGUACAUUAAAUGUAAGGGGACACCCUUGUAUUUAAUACAGCAAGGGUAAUGUCAAGCCGGUUAAUUAUUAGCCGUAUGGUUUAAUGUUCACUUGCUGUACAUAUGUACAAAACAAUUCCCCUUCAGCAUGUCGUUUAGUUUGCAUUAAAAUGGAGAUAAUUAUUUUGAUGCCAAAUGGUCCCGUCCGUGCCCCCUCCCUCUGUUCCUCAUCAUACAAUUCAUACAAAUUCCGUCCUUAAACAAGAGGGACAAGAAGAUUUGGUUUCUUUCGAAGAUAUCCGAAUUGCUAGAGCUGGGGACACCUCAGACCCCCCCGGGUGAAGCAGGUUUAGUCCUGGGCUGUGCAGGGAUGGGGGGACCCCCGGUCUCUCCCCUGGAGCACCCCAGGAUGGGGAAGGGGCUUUGGGGGCUCUCUGCUUUUUCGAGAGCUGGUUCAGCAGAUGUCCAGGAGAUGGAGCAGUGUUUCUGUGGCCUCUGCCGCCUGUGUCCCUAACGAGCCAGUCUGUCUGAACUCGGAAUGAAUUUUGCUCCCUUUUCAUCACUCUCUGAUGUCCAGCUGCUCCUGUCAACACCUUCUUAUAGCAUGUAAUUCAUCGCUCAGACUGACAGCUGGGGCUGUGGGCCUGGGACCAGCUCCUCCUGCCAUCGCUGCACCCAGAGAGGGUCCCUGGCCAGAGCAGGGGCUUCCCUCGCCCCCUCCCCGCACCUGGGGCUCACCAACUCUCCAAAGGAUUCCCCAGAAAACCCCGAGCAGCCCCGAUCGCCCUGUCCUCCUCCUGCUCUCGGUGGGUAACCUGCAGUGGGAGCUUCGCAGGGGGUGUCUCCCAUCCAGCCCCCUCCCCAGUGCGUGCUGUGGGGCUGGGAGAAGGGACCGAGGCAGGGCUGUGACGAGGGGAGGAUGCGAUGCCGUCUGGGACAUGACCACCCAAUCCUUUUAUUCCUGGGUUUGGACUUAUUUUAACUUGUAGGUCCAAGUGGGAACAACCUUGUCCACAGAUUUAUGGGCUUGCACCCCAGUAGCAAAUGGUGGCUGUCACCCCACACCAUCCCCUAGGGUGUAUUGAACAGGGAGAUGCUUCGCUAAUGCAACUGUGCACAAAAUCAUGGAGCUUUCUUUGGUACCAAUCCCCCUAUCCAGAUACUCUCUUCAAUCUACCAGCCAGUUUCUAAUAAUUAUGCUUUAACUCAGCACUUCUGCCUUCAAUUCUCCUCCUGUACCCUCCUAUCUUCCCAUAAUUCAUGCUAUAUUUCACCCAUUUCUCGUCCUCAUUUAUAAUUCUUCUUUAUUUUAUCACUUUGCAUAAUUUCCUUUUAGGAUUUGUCAUAAAAUAAAUUCUGCCACCUCUGCCUUCUCAUUUCUGCUCUCGAGCGGCAGCCUGCGCUCUCCUCCAGCGGUUCCCUGAGCCUUCCAAGCCCCUGUGCUGGAGCUGCCCCAGCCUUGGAGGAGCUGGAGAGCUGUUGGAAGUGACCUCUGUUUCAGAAGGGCCUUUCCAAAUGACUCAGCACCCUGAGCGACAUCUGGAGUAUAAAUUCAGGGUGAAGCUCCAGCCAGGGCUUUUUUGCUGUGGUGAAAUGCUGACACAGGCAGAAUCAUCAUCAUGCGAUUGCCCAAAUCUGAGUUGAAAAUGCAAAUGCUGAUGACUAAGUGAAUAAGGAAGCUGAGGAGAAAAACUGCUGAUGUACGGGUGUCCAAUCUGUCUUGGAAGGUAGGAAAGCACACGGGGAAACUGAGGCACAGAGCUCUAAUCCAGAUCCUUCAAAGUGCUUGAAGCCAAGAUCCUUCAAGGUGCUUGGCUCUCUCUGAAACAAAUGGAAAGAAGGCAUCUGACAUUUUUUUGACAGUUUAGGUCUGAUUCACUUGUUCAAGGUCACACAGGGCACUUGUAGGAAGGUGAUACGGAAAACUGAAUGCAAAUUUUCUGUGAUUCAUCCCAAAACCUGAAUCUUUUUGGUGAAAUGUGGCCCAGCAUGAGGGAGAGCAGAAGACUUUGAUAAUCUUCUUUGAGUUUCAGUACACCCCAUCUCCAAGGAAAACAGGAACUAUUGAUGGGGAGCUGGAGUCCAAACGCUGUUAUCUGCUGGUACAUCUCCUGGAGGAGGAGGUAGACCCACCGUAACCAUUGAGCAGCCCCACAAGCACAGAUUUCUGGUUACCUCCAUGGAAUGCAAAUUUGAAAUUUGCUCAACAACUUCUAUGCAGGGUGAAAGAUUCGGGAAAACUGUAGGAAUCUUGAUUCACAAAUGGUCCUUGCUGCCCAGACAAAGGGAGCUGCCAGAACAUGAGCUUGUGAUGGGGCUCCCUUACCCUUGGAAAGUCCUUUGCAAGAGAAGAGCAUCCAGAAGGACCAGCUCUACAAAAACAGUAGAGCUUUCAUACAGGAAGGAGAUCUUGAAGAGGAGCAAAUUGCAUUCAAGAGAGGUGAAAAACAACCAAAUCCCGACCCUGGUAAUGUGGCCCUCUUCUUGAAAGCACCUUGUCCUCUGCAGACACAAAGAGGUUCCAUUGCAGCACGUGCUUAGAGCAAAAUUUGGGGCUGUUCCCGGAGGUGGGUGUGCAGGGAACCAGCAAUCUGCAGUUCAGUUCAUUUUUAAGUGUCAGAGUGCUGAUAGGAGAAUAUAGAAAUAAAUGAAAGCACCCUCUCUGUGCCCAAAAUCUGCAGUGAUUUCUCCAGCUGCAGACAUCUUACCUGCUUUGAAAAUAGGACACAAUACGCUACGGUUCCUGAACCCUUUUAAAGGCUCUUUUUGAAUGAACCUGGGCCAAAAGAUGGCUUUGUGUGUGGGACCCACAUGGUCUCGUUUGCCAUUCCCUUGAUUUUCAAGAGUUGCUUGGAUCUGAGGCUCAAACUAAAACCCGUGAGAACAAAACCUCAGGGGGAUCAGCUGGAAGACGUCCCCCUGGUUCCCUGUGCUGGAAGAAAACCACCGGCUUCAUCUUCCUAACGCGCUUUGUUUUCUUUUUUCCCUAGUACGGAGAAAUCCCUGUGCGGUUCGGGUUUGUGAGGAGGAUUUUCCCUUCAUGCGCUGCCACAACCACUGAGAUCAGCAGAGGCGCUCAAGUGGAUGGCUCCUGGAGGUUUUCUCAGACCCCUCUGUUCCAACGUGGUCUGGCUGUUGGUGUUGCAGCAGAAGCACCGAUAACCCUCUCCUGGGACAACCACUUUAGGUGGUGCUGAGAUCCAGCUUGAAGGCCACCAAGCAGUCAGACCAGCUGAACUCAUCGAGGCUGUUCCCCCCUGCAUAGAGAAGAAGGAUUUUCCCCUCCCUCAGACCUCCUCACCACUUGCUCAGGUGCUCAGAGGUCCAAGCUAUUCUGCACACAUCUGUUCUCAAGAGACAGAAGAAGCAAGUUCAUCACCAGUAUCUCCCAGAGCUUUGGAGCACAGUAGGACACCUGCUCAGAGCAGACCUCCUGGUGCUUCCCAUUGCUUUCCUGAAGAAACUGCCAAUAGAACUGCUGAGAACCCACUGGCCGUUCAUUACCUGGAGGGAUUGCAAGGGACUCAUGAGCCUGCAGCCGAUGCCAACAGCCCCAUAUUUUCCUGGUGGAGGAAUCAGCAGGGGAGAGCAGCCAAAGUUCCUCUGGGAAAUGUUCCCUCCUGGCUAACUCCUGCUUUUGUCCCUUCUCCCAUGGUGACGAUGGGACAGGGCCCCAGGGAGGAUGUGAAACAGGAGCUCAGGAAGUCUCGACUGCUGGAAGCGUAUUUUCAGUUGAAAUCCCUGCCCAGCACCCACCUUCUACACCAGAGACUCGAGGGAUUCCCCACCCUUUGCCUUCAAUGUGACAGACCUGCAACCAGGUAAAGCCUUUGAGGUUGUCUGGCCUAACUAAACCCAGAAAGGUUGUGAGGACGGGUAGUUCUCAUGGCAUGUCUGACACACAUCUUGUCAAUGUUUUGAGCAAUACCAGAAGGAUUCAACGCUUCCAGCAACCUCAGCUGCCUCUUUCUCGCCUGCCUUGUAAUCUACGUCUAGGAUGGGAAUUGAAUCCAGAGAAAUGCAAUCCUUGACCUUGAGAAACAAAGCCAGGCUUGGCGCAGUCUAUGGAUGAAUAUGUAACAGCCCUAAUCAGGAUUCCUUUGUCGGAGAGCGGAUAAUUGUGGCUAACAACAUGUUAGUGUAGUGCUGGAUCUCCAGGCUUCUAGCAGCUUAUAAAAUCAGUAUUUUUUUUGGCGGGAAAAGCUGAGCAAACAAAGACAUUCCCAAGCAAUUAGUCACUGGAGAAUUCAGCUCCUGCCGGACAGCGUUAGGGUUGUGUGAACCACACAAAGUCUCGCGACAUUCAGAGCGAGAGCCUGGGAUGGAGUCAGGAAUUAGAGGAUGGUCUCAGGGGAGUGGUGUUGACACAGCGAAGUCGGGAGGAUCAGGCUUUAACAGCUCUGCUCUGUUUGUGUUCCUUAAAGGGUGCCCAUCACCGUGGUGUCUGGGCAUGUAUUAUCUCAGCUUUACAGGGCACUGCUAUUUGAGGUCCUUGCCAACAAAAACAACAACAACAACAAAACUGAAUAACGCCCUGUCCUCUUGCAGGAGUUAGUCUGGUUUUCGUUGGAAAAUUAUAUAAGCUGCUCAAGGCCAGGGAGGAGCUGGUAUCAGUGCUGAGGCUGAUGCUGAGGACCCGCACGCCCUGUGCUCCCAUUGCCCGGCCACAUCUCCAGCUGCUGCUGACCGAGCAUCAGUACAGCCCUGGGAACACCCUGCCUGUGGUGUCACCACCUUGCACUGGUCACCUCUCCCCAGGCCAGCCUUCCCAGGGCCCGCUGUCUGCGGCUGGCCGCCUGGCCACCCAGGCAGAGCUGUCCUCCGACAGCAGCAACCUCCGCCUCGUGGUAUUUAUAGAUCACAUCCAUGUCCUCGGCUAGGAAGGCAUCCAUAAUCUCUUACAGAUGUUGGCGAGAACAAAGCCCGCCAGUGACUCGAAAGGACCGCCCGGCAGAGUAAUGGAUGGAGACCUAUUUCUGAGUCACCUCUGACAUUCCUUCCCCUACACACUCUCCCUCUUCCCCAGGAGGCUCAUUGGUUCUCACCCAGUGCUCCCCAGUGCCCAAAAACCUUCCCUUGGGCAGGGAGUCACCCCCAUUCCUAGCAGGGGGAGUCUCAAGAAACUGUCCACCCUCCCCCAAAGGGAUGGAAUGUUCUCCUGGAAACCCCAAAAGCCACAUGGGCGAGUGAUGAAGAGCACAGGAGGAAGAUUUCCCUGCAUGCAGCUCCUGCAAGAGGUACAGCCACCCCAAGGUGCUCCAUGCCAGCUCUCCUGGGCCUUCAAGUUCAGGUAGCACCAGAACAGUAUAUGCACAUCUCCUGACUUUCCUGCACAUCAGGGUGUUUCACCUUCCCCUAAAUCCUUAUAUUACCAUCUCAAGUUUUCUCCUCCAGUUUUCAAUGUCUCCUGCACAGAAAAAAAAGCUUCUCUGAUCUUUUCAGCAUCCUUUCCCUUUUUUAACUCACCAUCUCCAAUUUCCUCUUCACCCCUGGGUCAAAGCCCACCCAAAUUCUCCCUUCUUUCCCUUUUACUGCCCCUGGACUUUUUCUGUGCCUUUCUCCAAUUCCCUUUUUACCCUGCCCCAAAUCCCACCCACCUUCUGUGUGGGGAGGCUGGUACUUGGCAGUGCUGGCACAGGGCUACCUGCCUGACCCGGAGUCCGGUGGAGCACGUCCUGUCCUUGUUCUCAGGUCGACAUCCCAUCUGCCAGGAACCCAACUGUUCUCUGGGCAAAAAACAAGGUGUGGUAUCUGGUUAGGAAUUUGCUUGCCUGGAUGCUGCCAUCUCCCCCUCUGCCACUGCCUGGGACCUUGGUACCUUCUUCAGGUUGUCCCACAGGAGGUUUCUGGGGAGCUUCAGGAGCUGGUAAGGAGCAAUAACUCAUGAACUCACACCCCAAGCAGGUGAACUCAAAAUAGCACUGGCAAGAGAGAUGAGCCAGCUCAGUGGAAAAUGGAGCACGCAGAGCUGCUGGGAACAGUCUUCUGGCAGCACCGAGGGGAAGGAGGAGUGCGUUGGCUGGAGAGGUUUCGCCGGGAAGGCAGCGCCAGCUCCCAUCCCCACUGCACUUAAUUGCACCAGGAUCUGCAGCCAAGCAACCAUUUAACGAGCGUCCGAUUCAUAACACGAGCAUUUUCCUUGAAUCACUGCUAGAAAUAACUUUGAGGUUAUAUAUCCUGGCCGACCUCCUGCUGAGCUGGGUGUAGUGUUUGGGGGCUCAGCUAUUUAACGUGUUUUGGAGCCAUAUGGGAGAUGUGGAGCAGCUCCAUGGCCAGCAGUCCUGUUCAGCUACAUCGUGCUACAACUCUGUUUCGCUUGCUUUUAAUUGCAUCUUCUGUGGUACCUUAUGUUGUCCAAAAAAUCCACCACAGGAACCAAGGCAGCAAGUAGAGGGAAGCCGGUUCCUCCUCUUGCUUUGCUCAAGUCUCAAGUCUUUUGCCCCCAAAGCCAGCCAGAUCAAUGCCGUCUUCCUUGCUGCAGUAUGGCCUCUUGGAUGGCUGUGCUGGAAUUUGCAUCUGGAAUUUCCUAUGAGGCUGAAGUUACUGUUAGACCCUGACUGAAGCUCAGCUGUGGGGAAGAGGAGCCCUUUGGAGACCACCUUCAAGGCUUGGGCUCCUUACUGGAGCGGGAGAUCGGAUGGACAGACGGAUGGAUGGGCAGGCAGUGGAUUGGCAGCACUUGGCAGAAUGGUGCCUUUGUACUGAGCCAGAGCAGGACCAACGGAUGCCCUUUUAAUGAGUUAUUCUGGCCAGGGCAGCCUGCCGAGACAAUAUUCACAUUGAUGUUCAGACUAAUGGUAAAACCGUCUUCCAAACCCUCGGUGGCCAACAGAGGCAGCAGGGCAGCCGCCUGUGUGCAGGGGAGACCAGCACUGCCAGUGAGGGGAAAAGGGAAGGCUGGAGCAUGAGGAUGGAGAGGAAAAGAGGUGUCUCCUCCCAUCGCCAAUAUCCCCUGAAAAGAGGACAGACCUCCCACUUCCACCAUCCUCUGCAUUUGUUGUUUAUUUCUUCCCCUCCAUCAGCCCCCUCCCCAGCUGGAGCCAUUUUCAUGGGGCACGGGGUCUCCCAGUCUCUGUCCCCCACCCUGCAAGAGCCAACACAGCCGUUCGUGGGGCUUUGUCAGGAACCAAACACAGUAACUGUUUAACGAUUUAACUGCGCUAAUGAAUAUUGGGCCAGAUAUUUUCAAGGCCUGUUCAGACUGAUUACUUGGAGAGCUGAGUAUGUCUACCAAUUACCCAGGCAAUUAGGCAACUAAUUAAACACUUACCCUCAGCUUCAUAAACAGAAGAGAGAGAGAGGGAAAAAAAAGGAGGGAGGGAGAGAGCUGGCUCUGGUUUCUGUGAAAUAUUAGCUGUCAGGAAUUGCUGCUUGCAAGGAAAGGUGCACAAAGGCAGACGGAUCUGGGCGGACAGAAGGACUGACAGCUCGUGCUGGGGAGCGCAGCCCUCAGCCCCCUUGUUUCACCAGUGCCAGUGGUGGGGAAAGGUGUGGGUGGGCAGGUGAUGGGCUUCAGGACACGUCCAAACCUUCACUCCCUGUCCCCAUCCCGCUCGCCUGUGACCACCGGGUCUGCGGAGCUCAUCAACACGCCAUCAUCCAGCACGGUGCUGGCAGGGAGGUGCUGGGGAGGGUGCUCAGCCCUGGGGUUCCCGGGUACCCAGCAGCUCCAGCCCUGUGCAAAAACACACGUAGUGAAAGGAGAUAGCAGCGAGCUGCAGGUCAGACUGCUGGGAGAACUGCUUUGCAAUGGAGAAUAGGCAGAAAUGGCCCCAGAGCCUGCAUGCAGUGGGAUUUAUGUCAGUUUAGGACACCAUGGGUUCAUCCUUUCCAAGAUUUUUAGGACCAGCGCUGGUGACCAGCUCGACGUCUUGCCAAGGAUCAGAGGGUGAAGGCCACGCACAGAUUGAAUCCCACAUAUGGCAUCUGCUCCGGCCACUGCUACAGAGGAGUUUUAUGUUAAACCCAAAGCUCGUGUGACAAAGCCGAGCGGUGUGAUUCCCUCCAGGUAGGGCCGAGCGAGGCAUUUCGCAUCGGGCUCCCCACUUCUCCCCUGUUCAGCACGGAUGGUGGGAACCAGACAGGUCCUGCCAUUCACCCAACCUCUACAGAGACAGGUGUUUUCCUAGAAAUAACAGACUCCGUAAAGAAUGUUGCUGGGGGGUGUUUAGGAACACUCCAGGCUUUGGGACAAAUUUUUACAAUAGUUCUUGCCUGUAAAAAAAAAAUUAAAAGACAACAUUAGGGAAAGGUGGAAAUAUUUUUAUUAUUUUAAAAAUUAUUUUGUGAUACAUUUUUCCCUUUGAAAAUAUACUUGCCCCUCUAUUUUUGAAAAUAGAUUUUGAAGAAUUUGGAGGCAGCAUGGGAGUUGUGCUCCUGCCUGAGGAAGGGUCAGCCCCAAGAAGCCACCAGCUAUUCUCCUUUUAGCAGGUUGUGAAAGACAUCGAUCAGUUUUCGGGUGCGCCGGGUCUUCAUGACAUUUGUUUACCCAUCCAAUGUGAAACCAGAAUGGGAUUAGAGAGAAGUUCAAUUGUAGAUUAUUUCCACGCCACAGCCAGUGGGUUCUCUGCCCAGCUAGAUGGGAUAUUGCAAGGGCCACAUUUUAUAUUUUUGGGAUACUCUCAGGGCUGAAAAGACAGGAGGAAAGUCCUGAAGUCCCUCUGCACUGAGACACUCUGACAGCAUAGACCUCUAUAGUCUCUUUUGAUACUGUUCAUCUUGAAGGGGUGUUGCCUUCUCAAGUCCGUGACAAGGUAGAUCGGAUUGCUUGGGUGUAAUUCCAAAUAUUUCAGAGGAUAUUCCCAUGAAGGUGGGAUUAUACAGGAGCUGCCUUGACAGGCUAUAUGUUUGUAGUAUGGGCAGAUGGACUUCAUCUCACUCGUGAAUAUUCAGAUAUAGAUGUACCUUUGCUGAGUGCAGUGAUGGAGCUGGUAGGAAUAACUGGAUGUGACAUGCGGUUGAUAACGCACAGAUGGCAUUUAACAAGGUAAAUGAGUGAGCUGAUGGGCUUCACUGGAGCCUUCAGACAAGGCAGAGAUGGAGUUUGUGUAUCCCUGGAGUUUGAAUGAUCUAGACAGUAUUCACGGAAGAGCCCUCACUGUACCUGCUCAAAUGGCACAUCUGGCUUCAGAGCAGCUAUAGAUGCAUAUUUCCUCUUUUCAGGCCCUCCAAGACCUUUUCGCUCUUUGCUGCUGUGGGUCAAGAGUAGCGCCUCUAUUACCAUGUGCCCCAGGAGGACUGGAUGGUGACUCACCCAGAUGUGUUUUGUGGCUGGGUUCCUGUCCUAUGGUUGGGUUCCUGUCUUAUGGUUGGGUUCCUGUCCUAUGGUUCAGUUCCCUUCACAAGCUCCUUGCCCCCGGCUGCCUCCUCAGGCCAGACAGUGGCUCCUGGCUGAGCACCCUGACUCUCUUGGACCACCGCAGCCUUGUUCUCUGGUGCUUUUGCAGUUCACUUCUCCAUCAUUGAACUUCCCAGACAUGCACCUCUACCCAUGCUGGGAAAAACAGCUGAAAUUUGUAUAAUGCUCAUACCGAACGUAACAACUACUGGCAAGCUGGUUUUGUUCAGAUCUCAUUGACUAAAUCAAAUACAUUUUUUUUUCUCUUAGUGUGCAUUAAUUUCCAAAUUAAAGGUUUCCAGUCUCUUUCUAACUCCUCUCCACCUUUCUGAGCUGUAGCCCUGCAGAGCUGAGAUUUCCGAGGCCCCAGGGACUGCAGUAGUGCUCUCUGGCUUCCAGAUGUCCAAGUGACAUGGACAAAAGGUCAAUCAGCUGUAGGACACUGUGAAAUUGUGGUGGCCUGCCAUCACUGAUCAGCCUAUAGCAGCAUCAUUCAGUGAUGCCAGCUUCUGUCUUGCAUUUCAUUGGAAAGCCAUGAUGUCUCCACCUUUGUGUAGGUGGAGCCGUAGCAGAAGUUUCUUGAACUGGUUUUGCUUCCAUAAGGAAAGGCAAAAAUGCCCUCCUAUUAACACUGGUGUCUCUAAUGUACCAUGGGGCUUUCUUGGAUUCAGGCCCACUGGGGGCAAGGAGAGUUUUCUCGGGGAUGCAGGAUGGGACCCUUAACUAUUACUCCAAACAAAACAAGCUGUCUUGGUAAUUAGGGUAGGUCUGCUCUCAUGCCAGAGAGUUGAAAUGUUUAUUGUGUGAAACAUCAGAAAAAGGAAAGGAAUCUGCUGGGACCACUUGGAUCAUUCCCAUACAACAUGCCCUGAGUCUCUGUUUGAAUGCCGGGUCUGUGGCACGGAGACGGGAGCUUGUUUUGAUAGUUUCUCUGCAUUCAGAGGCAUGAACACUUUACAGUUUUCUGUUUAAAUGACCCAUUUCUGAGAGCGGAAAGCACCAGCCAAUAAGCGCCCGGGCCCCUCCGUAUGCAUCCGGAGUUUACAAACCGUCCCCACCGAUCCGUGGUAGUUAAUGGACACUCCUGCUGCUUAGGGGGGCUGGAAAACUGUUCCAGGUGACUACCAGCCUCUGCUAGAGACAAGUCAGUCCCCAGAGGUCUGAGGAGACACAUGAGAAUGAACUCAGCAUUUCUCUGGAAGCAUGACGUUGAUUAAUGAUGGUACACAGCUCCGUCCCGCUGGCAAGCGGCUUGGUGGACGCAAUCUGCGGGCAAUAGCUGUAUAUAAAGGAACUGAGCACCAGUGUUCACAAUGAGUCAGUCGCCCACUGUCCGCAAGAGGCUUUCAGACAUAAAAUUGGCAAGCAGCUUGUAGCAGUUUCAAAGCUACACCUCGUCUCCGCCUGCUCUUGCCACCCGCUCGCCUGUUGUCACCUGGCAUUUUGGCUUCAGCCUCUGGACGGACUACCCAGACGCCCUACUCCUUGGGGACCAACCUCUUUCCAAGCUGGCUCUGCUUUGGACCAAGCAAAGCACCAUCUCUUAGGGAACUGGAGCACUGCUUCUGCCAGGAAAGCUGAUUUUCCUUCUUCUCUUUGUUGUUUUAGCUCCUUCCUGGGCUUCCACAGGUGAUGACUGAGGCUAGAAGAGACCAUGAGUUGAUCUAGUCCACCCUUCUGCAUAACAGCAACUGCAGACACGUGGGCAAGGAGGUAGAGGGAAGGCUGCAGGACCCAAUUCUUUUUGUGGUCUAACUCUUCACAUCUGUCAUCUUAAGGAAACCUGGACAUGGCCUGGAGACUUGAGCUCAACCUUGAGUCCUUUUUCCUCCUCAGUGGACAAUACAGGACACAUAUGACAUGUAGCUCCAAGCAGCCCUUCUUGGGGGUCUCUGAGCUGCGCAUGACAAAUGCUCAGCACAGCAGCUUAGUUGGAGUUGAGGCUGCCUGGAUGUGGUCCUUGAGGAGUCUGUUCUCCCACCCACCCACCAGUAUGUGCAUGGUGAAGGUCCAUGCACCAUGCUGUGCUGUCUCUAUGGGAGGCUGCUGCUUUCUGCUUGCACUGGGACUGGGAUUAUCCUAUGGUAUAUGUUCUCAGACAUCAGUUUUGUAAGAAAUAGUAGUUUGGUGUCUAGGGAGAGCUGGCAAACCCUUCUGUUCCCAUAGGAAGAGACCACAGCUUUGAGAGCAGUUUCCUCCAGACGUCCUUCCCUGCUCAUCCCAGCAGAGCUGUGCAGCCCCUCUCUGCUCCUUUGGGUGUGCAGAGGAGGAAGAUCCUAAUGUCUUUGCCACCUCAGCACAGUGCAAACACUGACUGAAGCAUGAACGUCUUAGUAUCUUUCCUUCCCCGUGCUCUGCAUCUGAGGCUUCCUGGGCGCUCCUUGUGCAAAGCUGAAAACAUCUGCAAAAGUGAAGGUUAAGAAAGCUGCUGGGGAUUCAUGUUACCUCUCUCCCUUGAGGACUCUGUGACUUCCAUUCACACCACUUCCCGCAUAGUCCAAAAAAAGCCUUGAAUGCCCGAGAAUGUAACUUUUCUCAGAGGUAGGACCCAGUGGUGGUAAACCCUUUUUGUAAAACAGCAGGUUUCCUGGUAAAACACAGCGGCUGUCUCCCAAGGGGGGUGACAUUGUCUCUACAAACUCAAGCAAGAUUCACAGCAGGCAGCUAUGCAAACAGAUGGCAGGACGGGAGUGGUUUGGGGUGAAGAGAGGUACAAAGCCGGCUCUGCUUUUGCCUGGGAUGGUGGGUGAGGAGACGAUCAGCCACACUUUCAUCUCCUGCCAUCCUCCAAGGAUGGCAGGACAGCAAUGACUUAGCAAUGGCUUGACAACCCCCAACCAGAGCUGAGACUCACUUGAACUGCCUGCUGAGAUCUGCUGUGCCCCUGACCAAGAGCAUCCUUUGAUACAGCCAGAAGCAAACUGGAAAGAAAAAGGGAAAUCCAAUGCACUUUGCAAGAGCAGACAUAAGAAGAUCCCAAUCAGGGCAUUAGGUCACCCAGGUGCCACCAGGAUGGCCAUGGUGUUGCUUUCACAAAGACUGUAUUUGCUGGGGUCAUCUGGAUUAAGUUCCCAGUGCUGGGAAUACACAGGAGGCAAAAUAUUAGGGCUUGGAGGAUGCUCUUUUAAAAGCUGCGUACGCUUUUGGGUGUCUGCCAUCAUUUGGAGAGUUGGAAAUGAAACAGAAGUCCAUGUCUGUCUGUUUAACACAGGCCAAGCUGUGUCUGCAUAUUUAUUCAUAUCCAAUGCACAUAACAUACACUCUGGCUUCCAUAACCUUCUCUCUGAUGGUGCAGCUGAAGAUGUGGCGUCCCAUUUACCCUUAGUUGAGACAAUACCAGGAGACGUCCGUGGCUUUCUGUGACAUGCAGAAGGAAAAUGUCUGUUUAUUUCUGUGUGAGCAGUGGGUUUCCUCUGGGAUGCCUUGAUUGAUAUGCUGCUAUUGAUUCAAGUGGCAGCUGGGCUGGAUGCAGGGUACCCAAUUACAAAACUGAGGGGGAGCGUGUGUGCAGACCACGGCUGUCCUGCCUCCCCAUCCUGCCUGCAGCCUCCUGACCCAUCAACCACAGCCCUGGAGCAGAGUGCUGGCAGGGUGGUUGCCACCCCCAGGCUCUUUAGCAAACCUUUCUCCUGCCUUGGCCCCAGAGCCCGGCUGCAGCCCCGAGCCCACCCGGAGGAGAGCGCCCAGUGGGCUGGUGGAGCAGCUACGGGGCACCUCUGGAGCUGGGGGGUGCAGACAUGGGGCCAGGCUGGUUUCUGGCUGUAACGCUCAUCCUCCCUCUGCCAUGGGCUGGCACAGCCGUGCGGCAGUGGCAGGUUGGUAGGACAGGGAGGAAACCACCAAAAUUCAAACCAGAUGGAUGUAGGAUUUUUAGUCACGGGAGAUGAAGGAAACUUCGUUCUUUCCAACACCUCGCCUGUGUUUAUUCCUGUGAUGUUUUGGAAAAACAAACAAACAAACAAAACAAAUAAAUUGAUUAAACACUGGUCAGAACAGAAGAUAGAAGCAAGUACGAAUGCUGCCUUCUGAAAAACAAUUGGCGUAAAAUAAUAAAUGAGAAAACAAGGCAACUGCAAAAGCACGUGGGAACAGAGUAAACGUGCAAAAACUUCUGGAUAGGAUUCUUUUCUUCCCUCUCUCCAAGAGAAGCCAACUGCAGGAGUUUGGGAUCCAGCUCCCAAAUUCUCCGAGUUUGCCAGAAGGUGAGGUCUCUGCUCCGUGUUUCUAUCACAACCAGAAGCCAAAACAUUUGUACCUGGAUUGUACUUUUGUCCCUCCAGUCCCAUACCUGCACUGGGGUGUUUCCAUUCCUGUGUCCUCCUGGUGCCAAAGGAACACACCAGCACUUGGAGGUGAAGCAUGGCAGAAUUUCUGGAGAGCAGGAAAGAAAUUCCCCCCCGAGUCUGGAAAGACCCAAUCAUUUAAAUUAAAUGUUAGCCUUUGAGAAGACAAAAAGAGCACUGUCUCCAACAGGGCUGCCUGGCGACAUGGCUAAUAUUUAUUACAGUGCAGGUAGUUUAAGAAAACAGAGACAUUUCACUGGAGAUUUGGAUCUUCAGCCUAACUAGGAGCUUGGGCUGGAAAGGUUCAGUUGCUAAUUAAAUCUAAGUUGGACACUGUUCCAUAGAGGGCAGAUUGUAACUAUAAGAGGAUGUUAAUGUGGAUUUUAAAUAUUUAUUAUAACUGAGGUAGGUUAUAAAAACAGACAUUCUUCCUUUCAACACUCUAUAAUGUCAGAUUUAGAGGUUUGUCUCGGGCCAUGAGUGAUUUCCCAGCAGCUGUCAGGGGCUGGAGGGCAAUUUAUCACCCUCCCAGUGAGAGAUCUCGCCGGACGGUGAAAGAUUAGUGCACUGAUUUAUGGCACGCAAGGAAAAAACAACGUUGUUCGAGCGGGUGCCUGGGUGCUGAUUUUCACACACCUGUUCCUGGUCCAGCCUCACGAAUCGGUGAUUUCACUUCUCCAGUGGCGCCUCGUGGAAUCAAGACUUUAAAUCACCGUGUUGCUGCCCUCUGGGAACGGGCGCUUCAGGGCACGGGCUGAGCGGGCAGGUUGUUGAAGGCUUUGCAGAGCCCAGGCUUGGUUUGAAGCUUGCGGUUCCUGGUGGGGUUGGGAUUUUUCUUCGCAAGGGCAUCAAUGCGAUAAGCUCCAUCCAAGUCAGGGUGAUGGGGGAAGAGCUGGCGGCCAUGCACAGAAACGGGAAAAGUUUCUGAAGGGGUAAACAAGGAAUGUUUCACUCCAACAGCAUCCCAGGCCCCAGAAUUGCCACUCAGAGGUCAUCAUCAAAUACCAGCCCUGGCAGACAGGCAAACAUCGAUCAUCUCUGAAGAGCACAACCCCACAAGGGUUAAAGCCCAUUGCUCAGCCCCUUGCUCGUGGUAAAUCUCCCUAUCAGGGUACAUUCAUACCCUGGUCCCUCACCCUUCUCCCCAAGCCAGCUCAUGCACAGCCCCGAAAGCACGGUGAUGGGCAACCCCCCACCAGUGGUCCCCCUCCCCAGCCCCACACAGCACAGCUCCCUCCCAGGAUGCCAGGAACCAAGGACUAGACUGCCCCUGGAUUUCGUGACCAGCAGCAAUUGCUGCAUAAUUUAGACUCUGCCAGGGAAAUUCAUUUAUGAGGAUGCCUGCUCUGUUUAGCUUCUCCUCCUCCCUCCUCGUUAUCUCUCCUCCCUACCCCCUCUUCUUUCUGAAGACGCUUAUUAACAGGCAUGUCUUCAACACGUUUGGGAGCUUGAAAGCCCAUCUUCACAAGACAAAAGGGGCAAGAGGAAGCUGGGGCGUGGGGACAAUGGGAGAGCCAUGCAGGAGGUCGGGGUGCGAGGAACCGGGGCUUUUGUUUAACUAAUAAUGAUGCUCUGUUCGAAGGCAGGACUGAGGGUCCUCAGUCUUCUCAAUUUGGGCCCAAAACUUGGAUGAAACUGCACAAAGACGGCUUGGCAAAGCUGGUGAAAUGUCCCAUCCCAUACAUCACCUGCCAACUGUGGGUGCUGCAGGUUUCACCUCCUGGUCCAUGGGAGGGGGUAAGGAUGGGAGAGAGAUGACCAUGCUGAUGUCCAUGUCACCUGCACAAGUAGUGUGGAGGGAAGAGGAGAAGGGCAUCCCUUGGUGACUGCAUCGCUGGAGCCCAGGAUAGCCCUGGUGUGGAAAUGUCUUGGGUUUGUCCACCUUGGAAAUAACGUAAUCCAAGAGCUGACACUGGGAGAAACAGAUGAGCACCCAAAGGGGAACAGACAGGGUAUGGAGGUGUUCUCAGUGAGUCCAGCAGAACUGAGCUGGAAAUUCCAUUCGGCAGAAAAAUCAUUAGAACUGUGGCUUUGUGGUGAAAAUAUAUUGCAAGAACAGCUGAGUCCCAAUGUUUGUAGUGAAAAAGAUGCAUCCAAAAGGCCAGCUGCCCUGUCCUGUGCAUGGUCUUAAAUCCACACGUACUGAGUCACGGUCUGGCAGAUGAUGCCUCCACAAGCCAUGCAUGAUCUUGGCAUGGAGGAAACAUCCAACUUUCUCACGCCUGAACCUGGGUGCCCCCCACAAGCUGUACUCCCCCUGCAGAAGCCCCCAGCCUUGUGAGCGCUGGACCUUGAUGCCCAGGUCCGGUCCUGCUUCUUCUCUCCCUCGACCUGGGAUUUAUUGAUAUCCUCAAGCGCUUUGUCUCCCUCAGCAUAGCAUGGCUGAUGCCCACAUCCUGAGACGUGGAUACACUUAUGCAGCUCAAUUAGAGGAGAGCGUGCCAUCAUCUGAUUUGGUUUGUUACUUAGAAAAGGUGACAGUGGAGACAGGAUUGAUUCAAUAGUCUAAGACGAAGCUUGGGAUGCUCGAACAAGGAGUUGUGUAUAAGUGUUAGUGAUUGCUUUUAAAUCAGUCUUCCUUUGCUCUGGAUUUCAUGGGAGGGUGGGGCUGGGACUGAAAAUCCUCUUCUCGGAGAAAAACGUGCUAAAAGGGCAAUUUACUCACUCCCUGCAUUGCCAUCCAUGCUCAGCAGGGCUCUAGAGCUGCAGGAGCUCUUCUAGUUAAACACUUAGAGUGGAAAAAAACAACUUUCAGGUGUGGUUUUUGACGUACCGAAAACAGAUCUGCAUGGUGCGCAGCCAUUUCCAAGAGAUAACGAAGGGUCCUGGGUGCCCAGAGCCUCACUGGGGCCGAGAUGGAACCAGCUCUCGUUUGGAUAUCCUUCAUGGGAAGGAAAAGCCUGGGCUUUAGUGGGAAUGUGUGUGCAGGGGAGGAAGGGCACAAAAGGGGGUCACUUCUUGGAGUUUUCUUAUAACAAGGGCGCGAGGAGCAUUUGUGUGUGAGCCCCUCAUGUGUCCCAACUCAGGGUGAGGGGUUUAGGAGGGGGGGAUGUUGUUUCUUGCUGACAUUUGUCUCCACUGAAGCCAAAAAUGCCAGAUUAAAGGCCUUCAUGAAAACAGGCGUUUAAAAAAAGUGAAUCUUGCUGAGCAAAAUAUGACUCAGAAAUCUGGGAAACAAUCUGAUUCUCCUUCCAGAAGUGUCCUGGUCACUAAACCAAAAUGGUUUUAAAUCAAAGCUGCUGAAGGAUUCCAUUAAACGCGCUGAGCGGGAGAAAAGAGGCUGUGUGCGGCAAAUAACUGCAUUAGCCACACAACAAAACAAAUAUAACAAAAUCCUCCAAACAAAAUUACAUUUCACAAUUAGGGAAUGAAUAACUCCUUAGACAAAAGCAAGGCAAUGGAAAAAAUUUUAGCAUAGACUGAUGCUUCUAAUUGUCUUUCUUUUAGCUCCUCUGUUCACUGAUCCAUUGAGCAAUGAUAAAGGCAUUAAAAUUGGUGAUUAUGUUCAGUGUUUCUAAUGACAGUGAGCUGCCUGUGACUUGACUGGCUGUGCUCAGGUGUGGGCUGGAGGGAGCCGCGUGUCUCUGCACCGCACUGCGGUGUGCAACUGGCUCUUUGGAGGAGGUGAGUCGAGGUGAAGCAUCUCACGCACCUCUGUCCUUAGCAACUCUGGCAAAAGUCUUGUCCCUGAGCUAGAGCAAUGCCCUGGUGUGUCAGCACAGGGGGAAAAUCCUGCUGGAGAUGGCUAUGGGUGCGUUUAGCUCUUGAGAUGGCAGCGAUGCCCUGGAGCUGGAAGCCCCUCGCUGCGGAUGCUCAGGGCCAGGCUCUGUCCCUGGGAUGCUGAGAGGGGCUGAGCGUAUUUGUGCUGGGCUGUCUCAUACACAGUGAGGGUGCUCUGGCCUGUGAUUCCCUCUUUUAUUUAUUUUCUUAACUGUAUGAGGUUGCUUUCCCAAAGCACAUCCCCAGCUACCGCUAGCUUGGGCUUUCUUCCGAUUCAGAUCAAGUUCGUACUUAUGGCUUUGAUUGAAAUAGGCAUGUGAUCUUAUUAUCCAUAUGUCCACCGGGGUGCGUGUCACAGCUUGCCUAGCACAUGGUAGUGCUUAUAAUAUCAUUAACAAUGUCGGAAUAACAACUGUUAGUUAGAGUCAGCCUUUAUCAUCACAUGGGGCUUCACUGGGUUUUCUUUUAUUAUUAUUUUUCUUCCAUCUUGUUGUGAAUGUCUCCCGUUCUGCGCUAAUUAGAGGCUGUUGCCUGCAGAAGGAUGCAACAACACCUUUUGAAGAUCUUUGCAGUGGCCUUAAUGCGAGUGAGAAGUGGGAUGUAUUCUUAACAACUACUCUGGUCCCAGGUAUGGCAGUGCUGCCUGAGUUACAUGACCCAGCUCUUCAGCAUCUCUGCUCCUUCCAGGUGAGAUCAGUGCAGAACAAGGCCUGGUGACCAAAACCAGCCUUGACCUCCUUCCUGCUGGAGUUUAAAUCUCCACCAUCCUGCUAUUUUGCCAGAGAUGAACUUCUCUUUGCCUGUUUGCAAGGUGCUCAGGUCCUGGCCUGGGCUUUGUGCCCACAGUGGAUGACUCGACUCCUCGGGAGGGUGAUAGGGAUGCUGCUGCCCAUGUGGUGUGCUGGGACUGUGGCUGGUACUGGUUCUGCAGGAGGAGGAUAAGAACAGCAUCACAUUGCCCAUUCAGUCUGUCAGGGACUCAGUGGGGCAGGGACAGACACCUGCCAGCAGCUCUGAGGUCCAGUCGUGACCAUGGGCUCUGGCAGAGGCUGGGGACCAUCGCACUGUGUUCUGUAAACAUGUGGCAUGGAGCUGGUGGUGCCAGGGAGGCCUUGGGGCAAAGGCAACAGAGGGAAGGAGGUGAAUUGCCCGAUGUCACUCAGUGAAGCAGUGUCAGAGCCAACACUGGAUCCCAGCUCCUCCUGAGUCCAAUGGUCAUAACCAUUGCUCUGCAUGGGGUUAUUCAGCAGCUUUUCCUUCAUCUCUCUCCAUGCUUUAGCAAGUGUCUGAGUGCCCAUCAGCAUCUUCAGGCCAGGAAAGUUCCCAGCCCUGGGAAUGUCCCAAGCAUCAGGGAAUAGGGAGCAGGGUUUGCUCUGCAUCAAUUACAUGAAUUUUGUGCCUCUUCCCUUUCAAGUGUGCGCCCUGUGAUGUAUUGACCCGCUGUGUUUUUUCAGUUGUGUUGUGAUUUAGAGAAAAGAAGGUCUGCUCCUGCAAGCAAGGCAGCUCCGGGCUGGGGCAACCUGGGCAGCAUGAGCUCAUAGAACUCUGCUGUGAGCCGUGAGAGAUGGAAAGGGAGGACAAAAGCCUCCAUGGCACCGGAGGAGUGGGAAGCUGGGUUCCAUUGCUGCCAGAUUGAACAGGCACAAGUCACAAAGUAGCCGGUGACCUGGUUGCAAGCCACUUCUUCCUCUCUCCAAUGCUCCCCAAGGGCUGGGUUUUCACCCAGCUGGGCUGGAGAGGCAGGACAGAGGAUGACCUCAAUAUCCUCACUCUAACGCUGCUGCCUGCAUUGUCCCUACACUGGGAAACUCAUCCGCUUGCCACAAAGUGCCCUUUCAUGGGGCUGCUGCACAUGUGUGCUCCCUAUUCCCAUGUGUCCUCAUGGGUGCCUCCUUCACUGUGGUGGCCCAACCUCUGUGGGACCAUCGCUGGCUACAGUGAGACUCAUCCCCAGGAAGGACACACAACUCUGAAAAGGUUUCAAGUACAUUUUACCCACAUUUGCUGCCCUUUGUGCUGUCGCCUGUAGGACAAUCUUUCCAGACUUUCCUUGCAACUGUUGAAUUUUGACAUGAGCUUUUGGGAAAAAGGACAGUAUUGAGAAGGAAGCUUGGAACAUCUGGAGAGCUGGUUCUACAGGGCCAGGCACAACGAACGUGACCGUACAUUGAUUUGUAUGUUGUGUGUCCUGACCACAGCCACCCAUGCCUCUCCAGCGAGCAGAAUGUGUUGUGUACUUAACUAAUGAAUUAAACAACUAUAAUUAAUUCUAUUUAUAAAAUGCCUCUAGGUGUAUUUACAACAGGAACAAUAAAAACAAUAAUGCAUUACGUGAUGCCAAGCAGCAUUAGUUAAUACAAACGAGAACACGCUGCAGCCGAGCCUGGCACUGGCUGCCCCGCACCACCAGCCUGGCUGAGCAGCGCUGCCUGGGCCACUUCUCAGUUUGGUUUUCCUCCCCUUUGCUCUGAUUUCACGCACUUGUUCAUCUAUUAACAAAGUCCUUCCUAUUCUUUCAGUUAGAGAGGUCUCUUAAGUCUAAUAAUGUUCAGUUUUAAGAUGGAUCUUCCCCUCUCAUCAUGCCCGGACUUCAAGAGAUUAAUGUGUCCAUUUCUAAUAGUAAAAUUUUCCAGCCAUUUGCACCCAACUGCUGCCCCAAAGCCCCAGGAGAACCUACCAAAGCAGGGCUGGUGUUGCCAGAGGGCAGCAGCGUUGAGCAGCCACUGGAACAAAGCCCAGCAUGAUGCAGGACUUGGCUCGCAGAGACGCUGCGUCACCACCAGCCCCACAGCAGCAUCCCAGUGCAGGGACAGCUGGCAGCAGGUGACAGCCAGGGUUGGAGGUGCAGCAGGAGCGUCGCUGGAGGAAGGCAGAGACACCUAUCACCUGGGAUGAAGCUCAUGAGCCACCAAGGUUUGCAGGGGGGUUUUCCCCACAUUCAGUUUUCCCACCUUACCCUUUUCCCAUUGGGAUCACUGGGAGUUUGGCCUGUUGGCUGUUGUUGGUUUGACUUC